rnacentral:rRNA from 1 species
GACGAACGCUGGCGGCGUGCCUAACACAUGCAAGUCGAACGAGAAGUUCUUUAAUGAUACCUUCGGGUUGAUUUAAUGAAUGGACAGUGGCGGACGGGCGAGUAACGCGUGAGUAACCUGCCCAUAAGUGAGGGAUAGCCCAUGGAAACGUGGAGUAAUACCUCAUAUUGUAUACUGGUCACAUGACCUAUAUAUGAAAGAUUUAUCGCUUAUGGAUGGACUCGCGUCUGAUUAGAUAGUUGGUGAGGUAACGGCUCACCAAGUCGACGAUCAGUAGCCGAACUGAGAGGUUGAUCGGCCGCAUUGGGACUGAGACACGGCCCAG